rnacentral:rRNA from 1 species
UAAUACGGAGGGUGCAAGCGUUAUCCGGAUUCACUGGGUUUAAAGGGAGCGUAGGCGGGCAUGUAAGUCAGUGGUGAAAGCCCUCAGCUUAACUGAGGAACUGCCAUUGAUACUAUAUGUCUUGAAUGUCGUUGAGGUUUGCGGAAUAGGUCAUGUAGCGGUGAAAUGCUUAGAUAUGACCUAGAACACCUAUUGCGAAGGCAGCAGGCUAAACGAAUAUUGACGCUGAGGCUCGAAAGCGUGGGGAUCAAACAGG